rnacentral:rRNA from 1 species
UAGUCCUAGCCGUAAACGAUGUUCACUCGCUGUUUGGGAUACACACUAAGCGGCCAAGCGAAAGCAUUAAGUGAACCACCUGGGGAGUACGUUGGCAACAAUGAAACUCAAAGGAAUUGACGGGGACCCGCACAAGCGGUGGAACAUGUGGUUUAAUUCGAUGAUACGCGAGGAACCUUACCUGGACUUAAAUGUAGGCUGCAUAGAGUGGAGACAUUCUUUUCUUCGGACUGCUUACAAGGUGCUGCAUGGUUGUCGUCAGCUCGUGCCGUGAGGUGUCGGGUUAAGUCCCAUAACGAGCGCAACCCCUAUCGUUGGUUGCCAGCAAUUCGGUUGGGAACUCUAACGAGACUGCCUACGCAAGUAGCGAGGAAGGCGGGGACGACGUCGAAAUCAUCAUGGCCUUUAUGCCCAGGGCUACACACGUGCUACAAUGGCAGGUACAAUGGGUCGCCAACCCGCAAGGGGGAGCCGAAUCCCCAAAAAUCCUAGUCACAGUUCGGAUUGGAGUCUGC